AAUAGCGUAGUCUACUUUUCUUAAUGAGAAGCGAGCUGUUAUUACAAAAUAUGAAUGCCGCUUCCGGUAACACGGCAACAAAAGGGGCAGGAAUUAUGAUGGCCGGUCUUUUGUUCCUAAAGCCACAGAGGGAGAAGUUGGCGACAGUGUGUGUGAGGCUCCAGAGACGCCGUCGGUUUUCAACCUGAUGAGAAUCCGAUGAAAAGUGUCUUGUAAAUAACUGCUGAACAGAAAAUAAAGACAAAAAGAAAGAAUCUGAGUUGUCCAAGCGUCCUCUGUUGCCCUCCAGCCUCUCAAGUUUGGGCAAAACACUGAAUACAGGCCAAAACCCGGAAGAACUUGACACACAGAAAGAGGGCAUCAUCACAUUGGAGCUGAAGCAAGACCCAGAGGGGCAUUACAAGAGUCCUGUUUGUAUGAAGCUUUGGAGACCACUGACUCUACUUUGCUGUGAUACCCGCAUUCUGUCCAAAUGUAUUGCACGGAGAAUCAAGAUAGUUAUUGUGAAUAUAAUAAAACAUGAUCAAACAG